ensembl:ncRNA W06A7.9 ncRNA
UGGGUGAGCGGUUCGCACAGUCUUUUCGCGUCGUUUUCGUCAAUUAUUUGCACAUUUUUGCAUCUUUCACCCAGCAUCAUCAUAACCAUUAUCAAUACUGGCGGCGGCCGCGGAACGCUUGAAGAAACGAUUCGCUCCUUGAGUCGCG